rnacentral:lncRNA from 1 species
AAAAGGAAAGGGCACGUAUAGAAAAUUUAUUAGAACGAUUAAAGAACAUAGAGUGAGAAAGAUAUAAACAUUAUUUGUGAUGGCCGGAAUGAUUCUUAAUGUAGUUUUAUAUUUUUAAAGACAAUUAAUAAUGAAUGUGUGAAGAAAAAUAAAUAUAGUAUUGUAAAUUUAAUUAAAGAGGUAUUUUUGAAAAUUGGUCCACCGAAAGUAGUAGAAAUUAUAAUUGACAGCAUGCAUGUAGGGUAGCGAGAAGAAUUAUAGAACAAUAAUUUUCUCACGUUUUAUCUCAUGUGUUGUAUACAUUUUAAAUAUUACUUCAAAAACUAUUUGUCUUGUUAGGAAUACAAAGAAUAAUUUUCAACGCGUCAGGAAUGCGACGCGGACGCGGCAUGAAUGUUGAGUGACGCAGGUCUAUGCCGCGUCCCUAAACCCUAAUUAAAACUUUGAAACAAAAUUAAUUCCGAUAGAAGAAAAUAUGGUAUUGCCGCAUCAUAAACCUAUAUUUAAAUUUCGAAGUCUAAAUAUCAUUGACUUUGUGAGGACUGAGAUUUUGGCAGUGUAGCUAAACUCUCUGUUGACGAUAUUUUUAUGUGUAAUUUAAUUACAUAAGCACUCGUCAAGUUUCAGAAGAAAACGAGUUAGAAUGAAGAAGUUAUGCGAUAAAUACUAUUCACUUAAGUGAAUAGUAACUCCGAUUUUUCGGAGAAGCCACGAAGUAGAGUUGGCUUCUGGCGCGUAUCGGACUCCUUUCAUAGCAGUCCAAUAGCUCGUUUCGAACGGUUCAGCUAUUCUGGAACCAUUCGCGUUGACGGAUUUUGGGUUUGAAGCACGAAUUUCGAGAAAAUCGGAAAAUACAUGUUUUAUAUGUAUUUGUGUGUUACUUGUCUGUUGGAGAGAGUGAACGGGUUUCGUCGCGAAUCCGUGACCGAUCGUGGCGAAAUGAAAUGGUAGGUUUAUUGUCUCCAUUGUGCUGAUCGCACUGGUACGAUCCGUUCGCAAAUCUGACGGACGGAUCGCUAGAUGUCACACGUUGAUCAAGGAGGGGUCUUUAGUGGCAAAACGGUAUUUUUGCGAAAA